CUAUUCUUUGUGGGGAAGAAAAAGGCAAUCUGCACAGCAUGUGUUGGAUGGAGGUUAUAUAGUAACAUUUUCCAAAUGUGGCCUUUGAAUUGGAGCAUACAGAUAGCUGAACAGAAACUCAACAUCCAAUGAGGUGAUUAGUCAUUGUCCUCACUGCCUUGCCAAGGCUAAUUUCAUUCUGGAUGAAACAAAAAAUGGGUUAAGGUCCAUCUUUAUUUCUACAAAGUUGGAUUCAUAUAUUCCCUGAAUGAGUCUUGUCGGAUAUAGUCCUGAAUACUGUAUAGCUUCUGUAGUUACUUUGGAUGGAAUCAAAACUCAGUCACUGAACCAAACUGCCAAAGAGGAAUGGAGAAAAUAUACUGCAUCACCUUGUUACAAAAAAAAAAAUUCAAUGUACUGACUUGAAUGGGAUUCUGUUGAUAAUACCAUUACUAAUAAUAUAUGGGGAGUAU